rnacentral:rRNA from 1 species
UACGUAGGGUGCGAGCGUUAAUCGGAAUUACUGGGCGUAAAGCGUGCGCAGGCGGUCUGUUAAGACCGAUGGGAAAUCCCCGGGCUUAACCUGGGAACUGCAUUGGUGACUGGCAGGCUUUGAGUGUGGCAGAGGGAGGUAGAAUUCCACGUGUAGCAGUGAAAUGCGUAGAGAUGUGGAGGAAUACCGAUGGCGAAGGCAGCCUCCUGGGCCAACACUGACGCUCAUGCACGAAAGCGUGGGGAGCAAACAGG